CGGUCACGGCGCGCAGGGGUUCGCCUGCCUCGCCGACCUGUCAAUGCUCGAUGCUAACGUUGCGUAGCUACUCGGCUAAUGUGACGCCGUGUAACCCGUUUGGAAGACGUUUGAGCACAACCGCUUUCGCCCAGCUUGCUUGGAACGGCGCCUACAAACUGAAGGACCCCCGACGAACAAGCUGCCUGACUACCCGCCUGUAGACAAUGUCAACAGUAUUAACGUCCAAUAUAGAUGUAUAUUAUCUCUUCAUUUUAUAUGUCAAAUAUUUUAAAUCAUAAUGUUGUGAUAACGAAUACCUAACAAUGAUUAGCUUGUGUAUUUAUAUACAUUGCAAUAUACAUUCAAGUAUUUGAUCAGGCAUGUUGCCGAACAUCAGGUCUUGUGGGGGCUCUUUGUUUUGGCUCCCACUUUUCUUGCUUUCCGUUUAGGUUUUCUACACUCUGCGAGGAGUCGCUGCGUGGUCAUUUAAUAAAAUUGAGGUUUUCAAAUAAGCCACAACGUACUCUAUCCGGUCUCUUUUCCCAUCAUAGCCAGUGAUUAACCACUUCACUCAUGAGACAUUUUGUGCACUGAAAUAGCUGCAAAAUGUAGAUUGUAUAUGUGCAUAUUGUCCUUUAAAAAACAGCCAACGAUAACUUAUAAAGCACAUAAUAACUUCAACAACCACAGACGUUACAGGCAGUUACUUUGUUUCAACAGAGCUCCAGUAUCACUACUUUCUGAGUAGACGAGCUACCGUUAACUGCGCAGCGGCUCCCGGUAACGUGAGCUGCUCCUUGUGUGUUUGUUAUAAAUGCGUGUUGGUACAUUGACGUUGAUGUACAUUGAAGAACAGUACAAGUAAGAGGGGCCGUUUAGGACUUAACUACAGUAUGUUUGCAGCUGAGUCGCAGCUGCAGUGACGACAAAUGCGUCCUUAAGGAUGUGUGAUGCAGCCUAGCGACUUUUGAUUUGAAAAUAUCCUACUGUGUUUUUUAUUUAUUAUUUUUAAUUUCAUAAAUAAAUUGAGCAAUGUGUGCUCUUUUAUUUUGGUUUGAGCCCCUGCCCCCCAAAAUAUCUGUGAACAUGCCUGCUGUAAACUGUUAACAGUGCAUAUAUUGUUAUAGUUUAAAGUAAAAAAAAUAUAUAUCUUUAAUGUCGUAAAUCCUUGCUUUGACUUAGAGGACAUCGAGAUCAGGAUCCAUCCUGUGCAGUGAGAAAUAGAGAAGAAUAAUUCUGAGCUUUGUCUGUUCCUUCCUCAUUGUUUACACUGUUGGCAUCUGUUUUUUUAUUCUUCUUGCUUCAACCAUCCACAGUUUCAAAUUUCAUUUCUGACUUUUCAACUGUUUAUUAUUUUCUUGUUCUUUCUUAUUCCCCCUUUUUGUCUUUUUCACGUCAAUAUCUUUUUAACCUGGUGAAGCAAACACAUUAACAGUGAAAUGCUGCACAUUAAUGAAGCAGAAAUAUUCAUCCAAAAACUUCAUGUAUAACAGUUUCAACUUAAGGCAUCAUUUUAAAACCCUUUUAUUCCUUUUUUUCUUUUCUCUAUUAUACGCUUCAUCCAUCCACACUUUCAAAUGUAUGACUUUCUAACAUUUUUUAUGAUUUUCUUAUUGUUUCUUAUUUCCCCCCUUUUUUGUUUUUCUUUUAACCUUGUGAAGCAAACACAUUCGUCACUACAUUCAUUCAGAUGUUUUUAACUCACCUCACCAAACCUGUUCUUCAGGGAAAUUCCUUUCGGGCGUUUAGGCUCAGAAACCUGUUUUAUUUCCCUGUGCACACAUGUUGAGUCACAGAAAGUGUUCACUUAUAAACACAGUCGACACUGAGA